rnacentral:lncRNA from 1 species
GAGACAUCUAGUUCAUUUUUUACACAGUGGACUGAACGAAAAUGCCAGGCGAACUCCACAGUCGAGGCGCAAGUACUGCAAAUAGAGCUGCACACAGGUAAAAUCCUUAGUCGUCCACAAAUCAUGCAUGCCUUUUCGUUUGUAGACCAGUUUUCGAACUACAAGAAGAUAAGUUGGCUGAACCUCAUGCCGGGGGCACCAAACAAACUGCAAAGAGGAAUUAACGAGCUGCAUUAGAAAUUUUACUGCACUGAAUUCACAGUGCACUGAACGGAAACCGUUCUGCACACCUAGGAGGGAGGGAAGGGAAGGGGCGGCGGAUGGAUCUUGGCAAGAUGGGGGUCACCAGUACCCGCGAACCACAAGUCACACACCAUCGUACUCCUCGUCGUUUUUGUCAGCUCCACCGCACUGUACAUCUACGCACCGCCGAACUGCACACAGGAAACG